ACGCCGCGUGAGUGAAGAAGGUUUUCNGAUCGUAAAACUCUGUUGUUAGAGAAGAACAAGGACGUUAGUAACUGAACGUCCCCUGACGGUAUCUAACCAGAAAGCCACGGCUAACUACGUGCCAGCAGCCGCGGUAAUACGUAGGUGGCAAGCGUUGUCCGGAUUUAUUGGGCGUAAAGCGAGCGCAGGCGGUUUCUUAAGUCUGAUGUGAAAGCCCCCGGCUCAACCGGGGAGGGUCAUUGGAAACUGGGAGACUUGAGUGCAGAANAGGAGAGUGGAAUUCCAUGUGUAGCGNUGAAAUGCGUANAUAUAUGGAGGAACACCAGUGGCGAAGGCGGCUCUCUGGUCUGUAACUGACGCUGAGGCUCGAAAGCGUGGGGAGCAAACAGGAUUAGAUACCCUGGUAGUCCACGCCGUAAACGAUGAGUGCUAAGUGUUGGAGGGUUUCCGCCCUUCAGUGCUGCAGCAAACGCAUUAAGCACUCCGCCUGGGGAGUACNACCGCNAGGUUGAAACUCAAAGAANUUGACGG
rnacentral:rRNA from 1 species